rnacentral:rRNA from 1 species
UACGUAGGGGGCAAGCGUUGUCCGGAAUCAUUGGGCGUAAAGAGCGUGUAGGCGGCCCGGUAAGUCCGCUGUGAAAGUCCAGGCUCAACCCUGGGAUGCCGGUGGAUACUGUCGGGCUCGAGUCCGGAAGAGGAGAGUGGAAUUCCUGGUGGUAGCGGUGAAAUGCGCAGAUAUCAGGAGGAACACCGAUUGCGAAGGCAGCUCGCUGGAACGUUACUGACGCUGAGACGCGAAAGCGUGGGGAGCAAACGGG